GAAAUGCGAUAAGUAGUGUGAAUUGCAGACUUUAGUGAAUCAUCGAAUCUUUGAACGCACAUUGCGCCCCUUGGUAUUCCAUUGGGCAUGCCUGUUCGAGCGUCAUUUACACCCUCAAGCUCCGCUUGGUGUUGGGCGUCUGUCCCUGCUUUCUAGCGGGGACUCGCCCCAAAUUCAUUGGCAGCGGCAUCGCCGGCUUCUCGCGCAGCACAUUGCGCUCCAGAAGGCUCCCGGCGGGUUUGCGUCCAUUAAGAAACCACCCAGUUUGACCUCGAAUCAGGUAGGGAUACCCGCUGAACUUAA
rnacentral:misc_RNA from 1 species